rnacentral:rRNA from 1 species
GACGAACGCUGGCGGUGUGCUUCACACAUGCAAGUCGAACGGAGUAGCAAUACUCAGUGGCGGACGGGUGAGUAACACGUGGGAAUCUACCAUUAGGUGGGGAAUAACAGGCCGAAAGGACUGCUAAUGCCGCAUAUGUAGGCAUCUCGACAGAGAUGUUUAUGAAAGGAGUAAUCCGCCUUUUGAUGAGCCCGCGUCCGAUUAGCUAGUUGGUAGGGUAAAAGCCUACCAAGGCGGCGAUCGGUAGGUGGUCUGAGAGGAUGAUCACCCACAAUGGGACUGAGACACGGCCCAUACUCCUACGGGAGGCAGCGGUGGGGAAUUUUACGCAAUGGGGGAAACCCUGACGUAGCGACACCGCGUGAGCGAAGAAGCCCCUUGGGGUGUAAAGCUCUGUCAACAGGAACGAAACAAAUGACGGUACCUGUGGAGGAAGCAUCGGCUAACUACGUGCCAGCAGCCGCGGUAAGACGUAGGAUGCAAGCGUUGUCCGGAUUUAUUGGGCGUAAAGAGUUCGUAGGCGGUUUGUUAAGUCUGAUGUUAAAGACCGGGGCUCAACCUCGGAAAUGCAUUGGAUACUGGCAGACUGGAGUGCAGUAGAGGCUAGUGGAAUUCCCAGU